UACGUAGGGGGCAAGCGUUGUCCGGAUUUAUUGGGCGUAAAGAGCGUGUAGGCGGUUCGGUAGGUCCGUUGUGAAAACUCGAGCUCAACCUCGAGACGCCGAUGGAAACCCUCGAACUAGAGUCCGGAAGAGGAGAGUGGAAUUCCUGGUGUAGCGGUGAAAUGACGCAGAUAUCAGGAAGAACACCCGUGGCUAAGGCGGCUCUCUAGUACGGUACUGACGCUGAGACGCGAAAGCGUGGGGAGCGAACAGG
rnacentral:rRNA from 1 species